GCUACAAUAAGCUCAUCAAGCUUUUCGGCUUCAGCAUUCUGCGGCUGCAUCGUCAAUUCAUCGUCUGCAGCGCUAAAAUGGUAUUUCUCUCCAAUAGCUCUCAUUAGCUGGUAAACCUCAAACAUUGUCGGUCUUUCCUUUGGAGCGGAAAGCACACACGAGCAUGCAACCUUCAUGAAUUGAAGCAGCUCAGCAUCAUGAUCCUUUCCAAUCAAGGACUUAUCAACUGCAUCCUGAAGGAUAGCAUUGUUUGACAGGUAUGUUAUCCAAUCCACCAAACUUCCUUUGAAGUUUUCCGGGGCAUUUUUCACCUGUGUGGGCUCUUCACCAGUGACAAGUUCAAGCAACACAACUCCAAAGCUAUAAACAUCCCCUUUUGGAGUGGCCACGAGGGUACGUGCAUACUCAGGAGCUACAUACCCCAAGUCUCCAAAUUCACCGUUGACAAAUGUGCUCAGGUGGGUGUCGAUGGGGUUCAUAAGCCUUGCCAACCCAAAAUCAGAAAUUUUAGGGUCAUAGUCAUCAUCGAGUAAUAUGCACUUCGAACUAAUGUUCCGGUGAAGGAUGCGGGGAUUGCAACUGUGGUGAAGCCAUGCCAAACCUUUAGCAGACCCAAUGGCAAUUUUGAGCCUCAAUGGCCACUCCAAUGCCUUUUUCUCACUAGUCUGUUGGUGUAGCUGAUCAUAGAGUGAACCCUUGGGCAUAUACUUGUAUACCAAGAGCCUCUCUUUCUUAGCAAUACAAUAGCCUAAAAGAGGAAGUAAGUUGCGCUGCCUUACACUUCCCAAUGUUGACAUCUCAGAUGCAAAUUGACUCUCGGAAUGUUGAGUAUCCUGUAGCCUCUUGAUAGCAAGGAAUGAACCAUCUGGGAGUGUAGCUUUGUACAUAGUUCCUGAUCGACCAGAUCCAAUAAUAUUAUCCUUAGUAAAAUCACCUGUUGCCUUCAUCAGAUCAUUUAACUUCAUCUUUGCAACUGAUUUCUCAAACAUGGAUACCUGAAUUCCUUUUGCACUCUUGAUAUUCUUUGCCCACUUAUUCUCUUCCAAAUCCUUUUCCUUCUUCUUGGCAGGCAUUUUCCGCAAGAAAAUGAACAGGAUAACACCAACUAUUAUAAACAUUAUAACUGCACCACCAACAGCAGAACCAAUAAUGACCCCUGUACGGCUGCUUGAAGUGGCAGUGCAAUCAUUGCUCAGAGGUCUCCCACAGAGGUCUUGAUUUGCAAAAUUGGAUGACGCGAAUUUGCCGAAAGAUGAAGGUAUCGGCCCUGACAGUUGAUUGUUGGCAACAUUAAACUGGCUUAGGCGAGAUAGAAUACCAAGCUGCCCUGGGAUUGCUCCAGUUAAUUUGUUAUUUUGCAAAUUGACAAUAUUUAGAUAAGUACAAUUAGCUAGGGAUUCUGGAAUCUCCCCUGAGAAACUAUUAUAAGAUAGAUCAAGGUUUGUAAUGAAUGGCAGCUGUUUUGAGAUGUCAGCUGGGAUUGGACCGGAAAGGCUGUUGCUCGAGAGAUCCAGUGAAGUCAUGCUACUACAAUUCUCAAGCCCAUCAGGGAAAUGGCCCUUAAGACCCAUGCUGCCAAGAUGAAGAGAAAGAAUCUUGUUUUCAUUAGGAUGCCAGCACUCCACGCCAUUGAAUCCGCAUAUAGAUCCCUCAGUAGUGUUAGUAAAUGUCCAUUCCAAUUUAUUGUUUGGGUCAACUGAUUCCUUCAGUCUCUUUAGGCAUUGGAUGUCACUUAAUGUGCCAUAGCAUGGCUGACAAAGCAUAUAGCAGAAGA
rnacentral:sRNA from 1 species